rnacentral:rRNA from 1 species
AUUGAACGCUGGCGGCGUGCCUAAUACAUGCAAGUCGAGCGAAUGGAUUAAGAGCUUGCUCUUAUGAAGUUAGCGGCGGACGGGUGAGUAACACGUGGGUAACCUGCCCAUAAGACUGGGAUAACUCCGGGAAACCGGGGCUAAUACCGGAUAACAUUUUGAACCGCAUGGUUCGAAAUUGAAAGGCGGCUUCGGCUGUCACUUAUGGAUGGACCCGCGUCGCAUUAGCUAGUUGGUGAGGUAACGGCUCACCAAGGCAACGAUGCGUAGCCGACCUGAGAGGGUGAUCGGCCAAACUGGGACUGAGACACGGCCCAGACUCCUACGGGAGGCAGCAGUAGGGAAUCUUCCGCAAUGGACGAAAGUCUGACGGAGCAACGCCGCGCGAGUGAUGAAGGCUUUCGGGUCGUAAAACUCUGUUGUUAGGGAAGAACAAGUGCUAGUUGAAUAAGUUGGCACCUUGACGGUACCUAACCAGAAAGCCACGGCUAACUACGUGCCAGCCGCCGCAGUAA